GAGUUUGAUCCUGACUCAGGACGAACGCUGGCGGCGUGCUUAACACAUGCAAGUCGAACGGACCCUGUGGGGCUUGCUCUGCAGGGUUAGUGGCGAACGGGUGCGUAACACGUGAGGAAUCUGUCCUUCGGCGGGGGAUAGCCGGCCCAACGGCCGGGUAAUACCGCGUACGCUCGUUCCGGGGCAUCCCGGGACGCGGAAAGCCGCAAGGCGCCGAUCGGAGGAUCUCGCGGCCUAUCAGCCUAGUUAGGCGGGGUAAUGGCCCACCAAGGCGACGACGGGUAGCUGGUCUGAGAGGAUGGCCAGCCACAUUGGGACUGAGACACGGCCCAGACUCCUACGGGAGGCAGCAGUGGGGAAUAUUGCGCAAUGGACGAAAGUCUGACGCAGCGACGCCGCGUGUGGGAGGAAGCGUCUUUCGGGGGUGUAAAACCCACUGUCCAGGAGGGAAGAAAUGCGUUGACUCGGAAUAGGGUCUAGCGCUUGACGGUACCUCCAAAGGAAGCACC
rnacentral:rRNA from 2 species